GACGAACGCUGGCGGCGUGCUUAACACAUGCAAGUCGAACGGAAAGGCCCUGCUUGCAGGGUACUCGAGUGGCGAACGGGUGAGUAACACGUGGGUGAUCUGCCCUGCACUUCGGGAUAAGCCUGGGAAACUGGGUCUAAUACCGGAUAGGAGCCAUUUUUAGUGUGAUGGUUGGAAAGUUUUUUCGGUGUAGGAUGAGCUCGCGGCCUAUCAGCUUGUUGGUGGGGUAAUGGCCUACCAAGGCGGCGACGGGUAGCCGGCCUGAGAGGGUGGACGGCCACAUUGGGACUGAGAUACGGCGCAGACUGCUACGGGAGGCAGCAGUGGGGAAUAUUGCACAAUGGGCGCAAGCCUGAUGCAGCGACGCCGCGUGGGGGAUGACGGCCGUCGGGUUGUAACCUCCGUUCGCUAGGGACGAAGCUUUUUGUGACGGUACCUAGAGAAGAAGCACCGGCUAACUACGUG
rnacentral:rRNA from 1 species